rnacentral:rRNA from 1 species
UACGGGGGGGAGCAAGCGUUGUUCGGAAUCACUGGGCUUAAAGGGCGCGUAGGCGGUCGAUCAAGUCAGGGGUGAAAUCCCGCAGCUUAACUGCGGAAGUGCCUUUGAUACUGGUCGUCUGGAGGGAGGUAGGGGUGUGUGGAACUCACAGUGGAGCGGUGAAAUGCGUAGAUAUCGUGAGGAAGACCCAGUGGCGAAGGCGGGGUCUCUGGGACAGUUCCUGACACUGAGGCACGAAGGCCCAGGGGGAGCAAAACGGGGA